ensembl:lncRNA
CCAGAAAUGACAGAAAAUAUUUAGAUAUCUCCACCGAACAGAGAGAGCUAAGUGAGACAGACAGAGGGCUGGUACACGGUAGGGAGUGAAGAUGCUGGUUGAGAUCUGCACCGUGGCUAUCUGCUGGGUCAUAACAGCAAGCUGUAGUCAGUGCAUAGAGCCUCGUGAGACAGGUACAAACUUCUCCAUCACAGUGACCCAAGACGUUACAGGAGAGGCUGGACGGUGCAUUCCUAUAUCAUGUAAAUUCACAUACCCAGGCAACGUUACUGAAUACGUACGAAGAGUCUGGUUCAAAGGAGAUCCACUUACACCUGUAUUUGAAAAAGAUGCAGAGGUGUGCGGUGUUGUUUGGCAGUUCCUGAGAGGUCCUGAAAGGUCUUGCAGCUUUUUCCUCGAAGACCAACAAGAAGGAGAACACGAGUAUAGAUUCAAGUUAACAUGGGGAGAUGAUCAAAUGUAUGUUUUUCCUGAGAGGGUACAAGUCUCAGUGUCUGUUACAGUGUGAUCGUCUCCAGGAGUGCCCAAACCGUGAACAGCAACAUCACCAUGUCUGCCUCAGAAUAAAAGAACAGCAGCGUGGAGUGUGUCAGCAGAAAUGUAAUUGGCCAGACCGAGAUGGAAUUCCCC